ACGGGUGUGGCUCAAUUGGUAGAGCGGCGGUCUCCAAAACCGUAGGUUGCGGGUUCGACUCCUGCCACCCGUG
rnacentral:tRNA from 1 species